AGACAUAGUUCUCCUAUGAAUUAAAAUUCUGUCAUCAUUUACCAAACCUGUAUGACUUCCAAUCUUCUGUGAAUCACAUAAGAAGAUUUGAAAAAUUGUCUUAGUGUUUUUAUUCAUACAGUAAAUGUCAACAUGAGCCCAUGUACAUUAUUUAAGCUUUUAAAAUGCUCGCUUUUGUAUUCCAAAUAAGAAAAAGUAACACAGGUUUGAACUGACUUGAGUGAUAGUAAAAGAUGACAGAAUCUUUAUUUUUAUGUGAUCUAGCCCAUUAAGAAGACAGUACCAGUGUUAAAUCAAAUUCUAAUUAGAAAACAUAGAACCACAUUUAUUUUGAUGUCUCAUCUGCAGGUAUGCCCCACUCUCUGAUUGUGGAAGUGAGUAUCAGAUCUGUGUGGAGCUGCUUGAUGAGAAGAAGAAACCCAUCAGUACCUUUCAGCCUGAGAAAGUUUUCUUUCAACAGGGGAUAAUUUAUCCAUGGCGUCAAAUGUUCCACGUGUUCAGGAAUUACGGACCUGGAGUUCGGUUUAUCCGUUUCACUCAUGGUGGGAAGGAUACUAAAUUUCAGGAAGGCCAACAUGGAAUAAAGGUCACUAAUAGUAGUGUGGAGAUUUAUUUAACUGAUUAGAGUGUUUUCCAGAUUUAAAUCCAUCACCUGCAAAAGUGACCUUCAAGUGAUGAACUGUAGUGAUGCAAUAUGCUUUAAGGAUAUCUUAUAUACCGCUACAUAGCUCUAUAGCAAAUAUAUUAUUUUACAUUAAAUGUUGUAUGUUACACUGUUAAAAUGAAAGACCUUAGUUAAACUGCUCAUCAUAUAAUCAAGUACAAUAAACAUCUCAUAGCUACU